GCCUCAGUAUCUAGCUUAUAAUAAGACAUGGUUUGGCUGUGUCCUCAUCCAUAUCUUAUCUUGAAUUCCUGUAUGUUGUGGGAGGGACCUAGUGGGAGGUUAUUGAAUCAAAGGUCUUUCCCAUGCUGUUCUCAUGAUAGUGCAUAAGUCUCACAAGAUCUGAUGAUUUUGUAAGGAGUUUCCCGGCACAAGUUCUCUCUUUACCUGCCACCAUCUACAUAAGAUGUGACUUGCUCCUCCUUGCCUUCUGCCAUGAUUGUGAGGCCUCCUCAGCCAUGUGGAAUCGUCCCACAAUGCAGUGGCUGAAUUUCCUUCCACUCAGACUUCCAGAAAGUCCACUCUGUCCUAUGCAAGCUCCACACCCCUCCCUCCUUAUACAUCCAAGGAUGUCGGGGUGAUGUGGGGGGCAGUCCUGCUUGUUCAAAACUAGGACCCAGCUUCCUGUCCCCACAAACACCAUCAGAGGCUAUUUACUUACCUCGGGGACAUUCUAGCCCUGGGUGAAAUCUGCACGUGUCUGAACUGGAGGUGAGUUGGGAAGUGCAUGGUAGGUGGUUUGGAACUUCUGUGGGACCCAGGAAGUGGCUGCCACUGUCUUCUCCCUUCCUAUUCCCUGCGUGGUGGUCAGGUGUGCAUCAUCUGUUGGAAGCCCAUCCAGUGGCCCGGAAGCCUGGGCACUCGGCCUGCUUGCUGGGGAGAAUCUUGCUCCAUUAAAUGGCCACCUUUCGGACCAUCCCUGGGCUCCGACGUGCCUCCCUCUGCCUGCAUUCCCACUGGAUGCCUCCGGAGAGUUCUUCUUUCCCAUUCCAGCUUUGCAUUUGGAAUCCAGUUCUGUCUCGACCCCUUUUUAAACUUUUCUUUCAACAAGUUCAAAGUCCUUUACAGUUUUUCCUGAGCUUCUUUUUCUCACGCAUAUAUAUUUUUAGAGAAUAAACAGAUGGGAAGAGUCUGAAGAUACA
rnacentral:lncRNA from 13 species